rnacentral:ncRNA from 1 species
UGUUGUUGCCAAGGUAAUCCUGCUGGGUAUGAACCCGCAGGUUCAGACAUUUGGUGUAUGUGCUUGGCUCAGGAGCCAAUGGGGCGAACCUACCAUCUGUGGGAUUUUGACUGAAUGCCUCUAAGUCAGAAUCCCGCCCAGGCGGAACCAUAGGGCAGCGCUGCGGGGCCUCGGUUGGCCUCAGAGCCUCUGUUGGCCUCGGAUAGCCGGUCUCCCAAUGGCCUGGGAUAGCCGGUCUCCCGCCCUCCCGGCCGGCGGGCAGUUCAGCCCCGCAAGCGCACAGGGACCCGUGGCCGGUCUGGAGAGUCCCUCCUCCUGGGAAACCGGUGCAACAGGAAAGGCAGCAGCCCCCUCGCCCGUCACACAACGCACAUUCGUGGGGAACCUGACAUUAAACCAUUCGUAGAUGACCUGCUUCUGGAUCGGGAUUUCGUACUGAGCACAGCAGCUCCCUCGCUGUGAUCUACUGAAAGUCAGCCCUCCACACAAGGGUUU